GAAAAAUUAGUUAAAUUAUAACGUAAGCAUGUCAAGCUUAAAUUACUACCCAAUAGUAUUUUUCU
rnacentral:tRNA from 1 species